rnacentral:tRNA from 1 species
UAGCUCAGAUGGUAGAGAAUCUGCCUGCAAUGCAGGAGAACCAGGUUCAAUUCCUGG